AACGCACAUUGCGCCCCGUGGUAUUCCGCGGGGCAUGCCUGUUCGAGCGUCAUUUAAACCAAUCCAGCUUGCUGGGUCUUGGGCCUCGCCUCUGGGCGGGCCUUAAAGUCAGUGGCGGCGCCACCCGGCUCUAAGCGUAGUAAUUCUUCUCGCUAUAGAGCCCCGGGUGGAGGCUUGCCAGACAACCCCUAAUUUUCAAAGGUUGACCUCGGAUCAGGUAGGGAUACCCGCUGAACUUAA
rnacentral:misc_RNA from 1 species